rnacentral:rRNA from 1 species
UAGGGAAUCUUCCACAAUGGACGAAAGCCUGAUGGAGCAACGCCGCGUGUGUGAUGAAGGGUUUCGGCUCGUAAAACUCUGUUGUUAAAGAAGAACAUAUCUGAGAGUAACUGUUCAGGUAUUGACGGUAUUUAACCAGAAAGCCACGGCUAACUACGUGCCAG